GGGGAUGUAUAGUCUCGACAGGAUUGCUCUUUGAAAACUGCAAGUCGCUUAGGAAACAUUAAGCGUUAAAUAUUGUUUCAAAACACAAACGGCGCUAAAAAUACCGUUGCUGACGCUGCUAAUGGCGUAAAAGGUUUCAUUUUCGGGGUUACACCUGAACUUGGAUCCUCUCUCGCUUUAGCUGCUUAAGCUACUUUAGAGAUUGUCCUCUUUCUGAUGGGAUACUAAGGUACGUACAAAGUCAGGAUGCUGUAAUUUUGGUGUUGGUUGAUCCAAAAUUACAAAAGACAAUUCAAUCAGAUAUUCGUUUUCCUGCUAAUUGGUUACAACGUUUAUCUAAAAAUUAAUUAGCUAAGCUUGUAGAAGUUUUUUUAGUCACAAUUUUGGACGGGGGUUCAAAACCCCCCAUCUCCACCC
rnacentral:tmRNA from 2 species